GAGAUAAUAGUAACAAGCUCCAUCUUUUAACAAAAGGAGUGUCAUGUUUGUGGCACACGUUUAUAAAGAAAGGGCAGGAUUGUUUGGGGUUUUCUUCGGAGAUUAGUUCCUACAGUUACUCAUCCAUCUGAGUGUUGGCUGCCUUUUCUAUAUGAUGAGGGGGAUCACCCCUCUCUGUCAGGGAUGUUGGGAAAAUGAAAGGGAAACAGAUACAUAAAGAGACAGCACAGAGCCUUUACCUUCCCUGCCCUUGGACCAGUGACAAUGACCUGGCAUUACUCAUAGGACGUUCAUGAGGGUUGACAGAAGGACAAGGAGGAGAAGCAGCAGUCUUCCCCACCCUCAGUCCCUCCUCCAAGGGAGCUCCAGGUGCCAGGGCACCUGUUGUCUUCACACUGGACAGUGACCCUCAGGACAUCGACCAGAGCUGGUGUGCGACCUUGGGAGCAGAGAGGCGAUGCUCACCACAUGGAUGCUGAGGAAGUGAGGACAGUUAGUCUCCCUCAUCUCCUGUGUUCCUGAGUCCUUCCCCUGGACGGACCAACCUCCACUGACAUCUACAGUCUCCCUGACCCACACACCUGACAUCCUCAUCCUGGAGACCUGGAGUCCAGCCACCCCAGGAACCUGACCUGCUCUGUGCCCUGGGUCUGUGUGUGGGGCACACCCCCCAUCUUCUCCUGGACAUCAGCUGCCCUCACUUCUAUGGGCCCCAGGACCCAAUUCUCCUCGGUGCUCACCCUCACCCCAUGGCCCCAGGACCAUGGCAUUAACCUCACCUGUCAGGUGAAGUUUCCCAUGGCUGGUGUGAUGAUGGAGAGAACUACCCAGCUCAACAUCACCUGUGCUCCAUAGAACCCAGAAGUGGGUGUCUGUCUAGCGGAUGGCACAGGUAAUAUAUUCACCUGGCCAAAAUUUCAAAAUGCACAGCAGAGUCUGUCUUCAGAUGCCCAGUCUCCUCCUGGGAAGUGACCAGUGUCCAUAGGCUGCUCUGAGCCUUGAUUUGUUCACCUAAAGGAUCUUAGGGGUCAUUUGACAUCAGUGGUACAGAAGUCGUCAUGCGUCCGUGACUGUGCAGGAUUCCAUGGCCUGGAUGGAUUCUGAUUCUGUACACACCUUCUGCUAAUACAAAAUUCCUGGCAUUAAGUUAUUCUACCAAUAAAAAAGCUGCAAUCAGUAA
rnacentral:lncRNA from 1 species